UACGUAGGGGGCAAGCGUUGUCCGGAAUUAUUGGGCGUAAAGAGCGUGUAGGCGGCCUGGCAGGUCAGCUGUGAAAACUCGAGGCUCAACCUCGAGACGUCGGUUGAAACCACCUGGCUAGAGUCCGGAAGAGGAGAGUGGAAUUCCCGGUGUAGCGGUGGAAUGCGCAGAUAUCAGGAGGAACACCUAUAGCGAAGGCAGCUUGCUGGGACGUAACUGACGCUAAGGCGCGAAAGCGUGGGGAGCGAACAGG
rnacentral:rRNA from 1 species